rnacentral:lncRNA from 1 species
UUUUGUAGCUCCCUUGUAACAUCCAAGGGAUCAAGCUGUACUUUCCGUCUGGUUUGGUUCAACUCUUUUUCAAGUGAUGAAAUUUUUGAGGUAUUUGAAGACAACCUUUGACGAGUCUUUUCAAGCGACAUUCUUUCUUUCUCUAUCUUCUUGUUAUAGAAAUCAACUGUAGCUCGAAUAUCAGCAAGAUCGUUUGUAGUCCGACUUAAGUUUAAUUUGGCUUGUUCCAGUUCCAGUAAAAUGGAACCUGGAGCAGACUUCUCUUCCAUUUCUGCAGCAGAAUUCACAUUUUUAUCAUCUGUUUCUGCAUUGAGGGCUUCAUUUAUCUCUGAUGUUUCUUUCUGCAGCUUCAAUCUUAGUUCUUCGACAGUAUUUUUAGUGGUUUCCAGUUCCUUUAAAACAUCAAGGGUUUCUCUUUCUUUCAUUAUCAACUCUGUUUCCAACUGUGCAGCCUGUUCCUCCAUAUUUACAAUGUCAAGAAUUUCACUACCGUUCUGCCAUUCGCAAAACAUUUUAAACGCGAUUAGACACACAAAUCGACUCAGUUCUAGGAAAUCAGACUUCAAAAUUAGAAACUAGUUAACUAAAAAGUUGAAUAAGCAGCAGAAUUUCUCAAGUCAAAAGCAUUAUAAAGUACUGAAAAUAAAUGAAAAUCUUCUCAUAUAAGUGUGUGUUUUGUGUGAGAGAAGACCUGAGAGGAUUGUUCAUGGGGCUUUUGAGAACUGGGUUUCCAAAAUCCUAUUCCACCAAAUCGAUUCGCCGCAUCUUUCACCGACUCGAAAGGCGCCGACGUGUCAAUCUCAGCCCUUCCCCUACUCAUCCUCUCCUCCGAACCCGGCUCAUUUUCAUGGCCCAUUUUCAGACCCGAAUCAGUCCGGUCCCCAUUGGCUUCAAGAUUUUCCGCAGACAUUGCAGAAACAAGAAAAACGCUGCUACAAGAUCCCUCAAGAACAAAAAAUGGCUUAUUCGUAUGUAGUUAUAGUGUGUUGUGGGUGAUGAGUACGGCCAGAACUGAUCAGAGAGUUAACUUUUAUAAGAAAAAGUGAGUGUACCGUUUGGAUCUUUCUCACCAGAGGUUAACGUAGCUAUAGGGUUAUUGUUCGGAUCUCCAUUUCCGAAGAGCCUCCUCGACUUCCAAUUUACCACUGUCUGCUGCUUCCACUCUACUCAAUGCCUCUUCCAAAGCCUUUUUGCUAAUUUUAACUUCUUCGGUUGCUUCCUCUACCUUCUUUAAGAUUUCAGUGUUCGACACAUUAGCUUCAUCAACUUGAACCAUUGCGUCCACUACUCUCCCAUUACAGGCUUCCUCUGCUUCUCGAGCCCUCGAGAUCAAAGAUGAAUAUUCCUCGACAGUGAUAGUUACACGGUCGGAUUUUUCCUGAAUAUCUUCAGACAAGUUUCCACUCUUCGACAGUGCUUCGAUUUCAGCAAGUGCCACAGCUUCAGAAGCCCUUGCUGCUGCUUUCAUUUUUUUAGCAGCAAUCAAUCUUAUCUCAGCAGUCUUAAUCCGAGAUUUCGUCUGUUCGAUCUCAGAUGUUGCUUUCAAAACUUCUGCCUUUGCAGCUUCUCCUACCUCCUUAAACUUCUCCGUCUCAGAAGCUAACUUUUGUAGCUCCCUUGUAACAUCCAAGGGAUCAAGCUGUACUUUCCGUCUGGUUUGGUUCAACUCUUUUUCAAGUGAUGAAAUUUUUGAGGUAUUUGAAGACAACCUUUGACGAGUCUUUUCAAGCGACAUUCUUUCUUUCUCUAUCUUCUUGUUAUAGAAAUCAACUGUAGCUCGAAUAUCGGCAAGAUCGUUUGUAGUCCGACUUAAGUUUAAUUUGGCUUGUUCCAGUUCCAGUAA